GGGGGUGUAGCUCAGUUGGGAGAGCAUCUCGUUCGCAAUGAGAAGGUCGAGGGUUCAAACCCCUUCACCUCCA
rnacentral:tRNA from 1 species